GUGGAUAGAGCUCAGUAGUAGAGCACAUGCUUGGCAUGCGUGAGAUUCUGGGUUCACUCCCCAGUAUCUUUG
rnacentral:tRNA from 1 species